AUGAACGCUGGCGGCGUGCUUAACACAUGCAAGUCGAACGAAGCACUUUAACUUGAUUUCUUCGGAAUGAUGUUUUGUGACUGAGUGGCGGACGGGUGAGUAACGCGUGGGUAACCUGCCUCAUACAGGGGGAUAACAGUUAGAAAUGACUGCUAAUACCGCAUAAGCGCACGGUAUCGCAUGAUACAGUGUGAAAAACUCCGGUGGUAUGAGAUGGACCCGCGUCUGAUUAGCUAGUUGGUGAGGUAACGGCUCACCAAGGCGACGAUCAGUAGCCGACCUGAGAGGGUGACCGGCCACAUUGGGACUGAGACACGGCCCAAACUCCUACGGGAGGCAGCAGUGGGGAAUAUUGCACAAUGGGCGAAAGCCUGAUGCAGCGACGCCGCGUGAACGAAGAAGUAUUUCGGUAUGUAAAGUUCUAUCAGCAGGGAAGAUAAUGACGGUACCUGACUAAGAAGCACCGGCUAAAUACGUG
rnacentral:rRNA from 1 species